UCUCGCCUUUAAGGGGUCGCUCACAUUCCUGAAAGUCCCGCGGGCCAAUCAGCAGCAGCCGGGCAGGAAGCGGGCUGGUGUUUAUCCAGUUACCUCACAACAAGAGAGAAACAAACCUUCCCCCCCCCCCCCCCCAAAAAAAAAGGCGGGCGGGGGGGGGGGGCGAUGAUCACCCUCCCGCUUCUCGAUUCUGCACGCCCAGCAGCCCAUGGUGGCGGCGCUGCCAUGCCGCUGUUACAGACCUGUCAAGGGAUUUGCUGUACCCCAGUUCGCGGUGCUGGGAAUGCCUGAGAGCCUAGCUCCCCCGAGACCACACUCUGGAGUAGUUCAGCACUAGGGUCUGCAGGGGAGGGAACAGCCCGGCCGCGAAGGAGCUGAUCUCCCCAGUCUGAUGUCCCCCCUCCUACCCCGGUCGUUAAUUCGUUGCUGAUCGCAGCUGGGCUGGGGCUACACUAAUCCGUGCUCAUGUUCACUGGCUGAAACCCUUCUUUGACUUUCUUUCUUUCCACAGGUAUCUUUGCUGCUGGAUGUCUGGGCCAGGCUGUUUGCACAGCGGGGCUCGGAGGUGUGAAACAUACACGGACCUUCCAUGAGGCGCGGGUUAGGGCUCUCACUCGAUGCAUUUCUCGGACCACGGGCACGCUUUCAAAAAGCCUUCGCGUCCCAUGCCAGCUCGCAGUGUUCAAAGCCAAGCUGUCCACUUGGCGGCGCUCUGCGAAUUCUGAUCGCCAUGGCCGGAGAGGGAAUGGUUCUCAAGUUAAUCAUUCCUAAAGGGGAAAGGGCAUUUUUCCUUUUAUAGGAAAUAAUGAAGUUGCAUCUUGAAACUCACCCCCCCCCCGCGCCCCCCUGCAAACCGGAUCUCCCCAGUUGUACUUUUUGUGCGAUUCUUGCCUGAGUUUUGGAGAGAAUUAUGAUGUCACCAAAGUCCUCAUCAAUCGCUAUUCGUUCACUGGGAAAGAAGCUGCUGGCAGUUCUUUCUUUUCUCUGCUUCCUAAAAAUCUCUCGUGCCGGUCUCCUCUAUUCCCCGGGCGCUUCCGAGCAGAUGUACGUUAAUGGCUGGGAAGCUGUGCAAUUCUCCUGGGUGGUGGUGGUUGAUUUUUUCAGUGCUCUCCUACUGUGUAGGGGAUCUCGGUGCAGUGCACGCUGACAGAACCUGUCCCUCGCCAGCAUUACUCCAGCUGUCUGGAAUCCCAUUCAUGUCCUCUGGCACUGACGUGGGAGCAGCAGCAGCCCUUCCACGCAAUGGAGUGGGUGGGAUGAGACCUAUGAGCUAAUCAGAUCUAUCUGUACAGCCUUGUUAUUGUUACCAGGAGACCCAGGUUAUCAGUCUUCUCCAGACAAGUGCCCACACAUAUCCUGCAACCCCAACCUUGAAAGCAAGACAGAUCGGUAACAGUUAGACACGUGUCUCCAGGUUAAUCAUGCCGUUUAAAUUCCCAGUGAGCGUGCUAUAGUGUAGUGUGUGGGAGUGGAUUGGAUAGGUGGCAGGAUAUGUGUGACUUUAGUGCCUAUGUACAUAUGCCCAAUGUGUAGUGUGUGCCAGUAAUAAUGCUGAGUUUGAGCGUAGUAUAGUGCAUGUAGUGUAUGGUAGGUUUGGAGUGUGUGAGUUUAGUUUAUGUAGUGGGUAGUGCAUAUGAAUAGUAGUGUAAGUUGUGUAUAUGUAAUAUGCAAUGGGUGUGUAACGCUUGUAUAUAUAAGUAUGCAGUGUAUGUGCGAGGAGUGUAAUGUAUGUAGUGUGUAGAGGACAUGGCUGUGAGACUUGUGUGACCUAUAGAAAACACCUGAAAAACCUGGAACGUCAGCACCAGCACUAUCUUCAGAAGAUCCUCAACAUAAAGUGGGAGGAUUGCCACAUUAAUGUCAGUGUCCUCACAAAAAGAACAGGAGGACUUGUGGCACCUUAGAGACUAACCAAUUUAUUUGAGCAUGAGCUUUCGUGAGCUACAGCUCACUGCAUCGGAUGCAGCUGUAGCUCACGAAAGCUUAUGCUCAAAUAAAUUGGUUAGUCUCUAAGGUGCCACAAGUACUCCUUUUCUUUUUGCGAAUACAGACUAACACGGCUGUUACUCUGAAAAGUGUCCUCACAGAAGCCAACAUCUUCAAUGUUGAGGCCCAGAUUAUCCAGCACCAGCUGAGGUGGAGCAGGCACUGUGUGCGCAUGCCUCAUGUACGCUUACCAAAACAACUGCUGUAUGUCCAAUUCACCAAAGGAGAAAGGAAACGGGGAGGCCAAAAGGAACGCUUUAAAGACACCCUCAAGGUAAACAUCAAGAGAUAUGGCAUCGACACCACACACUGGGAGAUAGCAGCCCAGGACAGGGAUAACUGGCAAAGACUUGUCAGAGAGGGAACAUCCAUUUUUGAGGAAAACCUUGCCUUGGUUGCAGAAAAAUACCAGAAAAGAAAAGACAGACAACUGUCACCAGCAAACGCCGCCCAACCCUGACUUCCAACACCACCUGCAACAUCUGCCAACGAGCCUGUGGCUCAAGGAUCAGUCACCAAAGGACACAUAAAAAAUAAACUCCUGUGAAAGAGAUCAUCCUCUACCUCGAGGGAUCACCAGUGAUGUAGUGGAUAUACGUAAUGUCUGAGCAUAGUGUAAGUUCUGUUAUGCAGAAUGUGAGCACAAUGUUGGUAGUGUGCUGAUCCAUAAGUGGAUAGUGAAUAAGUGUAGUAUGUAGUGUGUAAAUAUAGUAUGCAGUGCAUAUUAUGUACAUGUAAAGAAGGGAGUAUAAUUCAGUUACAUUAAUCUCUAAUCAAACUCAAAACUAGGAGAUGGCAACUACACAUGGUUGCUUUUAAAUGUUAACUGAAAUUGCAGACCAUACAUUACAUGUGUUCAGCUGCAGAAAUGCACUCUCAUUUGGAAAUUCAAAUUUCUGUUGGGAAAGAGCACCCUUUCCCCUUUUGAUUGCUCAGAACUUCCUCUAAUUUGUUUUGGAAUGCAGUUUCCCAUGCUUGGUCUCAGCCUGACAUUGAUAGUUUUUUAAAAAAGUUGUAACCCAGUUGGUUCAGCUGUUUUGCAUGAUUCAAGCAUAAAACACGAUAGGACCCUCUUCUGCCUCCUCCCCUGCCUUAUUUUCUGAUAUACAGCACAGGUUACUUUGGCCCCAAAAAGAAACAUUACAAAUCCUGUAGUGAACAUGUACUUCUUUUGCUCUGACAUAAGAGUGAUCAUCUUUAACUGGACUAUCUCUGUAGGAAGAAGGAGCAAGAACUGAGAAAGAGGUUCUCCCCACUUUUGGUGUGUGUAUUGCUGUUGAGAAACAAGCCCCUUGCAUGUAUUUUAAGAGAGCUUUGACCCUCUGUGGAGGUUGUGUGGGGAGACAGACGUGGAAAUGUAAAGAGCAUCAACUGGUGUAAUUGUUAUAGCUUCAGUGAAUUCAAUACAGCUGUGACGUUGCACUCUAUAUGAUUUUAUAAAAAUAUGCUAAUGAGUGUGAAUAUAAUGUAACUGGAAUAUGCUUCAUGCAAAAGGUCUCUUGUAAGGUAUCAUUACAAAGCUUAUAAUCUACUGAGUGUGGUCAUCCUAUUUGUAUGUAUGUAUCAUUCUUGUAUCUAAAACUAGAAAUAUGAAAUAUAACUCUUAGGGUCUAUUGUAAUUAUGCAAAGUGUGGGCCAUUAAUGGUGGUUUGGAAUCUUGAUGGCGCCCAUCAACCAGGACAAUUGACUGUGGAUGGCUCUGUUUGCUUGCAGGCCCUCCCGUGAGUCAGGCUGGGAGGAAUGAAGGCUUGGGGUCUCACAGGACAUGUGACCAUGUCACCUGGUACUGAAAUCCAUCUUAAACCUGGUGCUUUUCCAUUUAGAAGGAGGGGUGGGGACCCAGAGAGAUAAAAGAUUCCCGCCUUGUGCCAAAGCUAUAUAAGGGAGUGGAACAGACCAAAGGGAGCGACCAUCAUGAGAAAUCCCCUAGCUACCAUCUGAGCUGGAACAAGGGCUGUACAGGGGAAAGGAUUGUGCCCAGACUAGGAAGGCGUCCAGUCUGUGAUAGAAGCUUCUUGAAACAUCUCUGUGGCAACAGGACGUGAGGGAUAGCAUGCCGUUAUUGCAACAGGAUUCUGUCCUUCUCUGAAUUGAUACGACACCCGUAUCAGUAGAAAAGAACUGCCUCAAGAGACAAAUCCACUUUCCAGAGGAUUUGAUUCUUCAUCUGAAUAGCCUACAAUGAAAUCCUUACUAUCAGCAACAAAAAUCACACUGAGAAAGGACUUGUCUGCUGAGAUAGUUAAGGUACAACAUGAGUUCAAAGAAAAGUGCAUCAGCCUGAAUAACCACUCAGCAGGAUAUUUAACUGUGGGUGUUCAGAUCCCCAAGAUAGAUGCCAGUCUGACAAUGAUGAGAUAAAGCAGGUUUGUCCAGGGACUACUCUUCUUAAUGGAUAAAAUGGGCCUUUCUUCUUUUUAACCUAUGGAUGGAAAAUCCUGACUUUCCUUCUAAGAGAACAGACUUCUGUUUCCCUUGUGAAUUAUCCUUUUGGAACUAACCAGAACACCUUGGUCUCCUACAUUGCUGUACAAAGGAUUCCACUCUGCAUUCAAAAAAGCAAGACUAUUUAAACUAUAUUCAUAUUUAAAGAUGACCAUUCGAAUGGAAGACAGGCACAGAGGACUGGACUGCAACUAUUCUGGCUUUGUGGUUGUAUAAUAUUUGAUUAUUUUGUCUGGCAUAAGUUUUCUU